ensembl:snoRNA
GGGUGAAAUGAUGUUUUACCAUCUUUCGGGACUGACUCUUAUAAUGGAGACUUCUUUUAUUUUACUGAUCACUU